UAAUUUUUAAAAGACCUUUUUCGGAAGGUAUGCUUAAAGAGGGGCUUGCGCCACAUUAGUUAGUUGGUAAGGUAAAGGCUUACCAAGACGAUGAUGUGUAGCUGGACUGAGAGGUCGAACAGCCACAUUGGGACUGAGACACGGCCCAAACUCCUACGGGAGGCAGCAGUAAGGAAUUUUUGGCAAUGGAGGAAACUCUGACCGAGCGACGCCHCGUGAACAAUGAAGUACUUCGGUAUGUAAAGUUCUUUUAUUGAAAAAGAAAAAAUAGUGGAAAAACUAUCUUGACAUUAUUCAAUGAAUAAGCCCCGGCUAAUUAUGUGCCAGCAGCCGCGGUAAUACAUAAGGGGCGAGCGUUAUCCGGAAUUAUUGGGCGUAAAGGGUGCGUAGGCGGUUUGAUAAGUCUAUAGUUUAAUUGCAGUGCUUAACGCUGUACCGCUAUAGAAACUGUCUGACUAGAGUUAGAUAGAGGCAAGCGGAAUUCCAUGUGUAGCGGUAAAAUGCGUAAAUAUAUGGAGGAACACCAGAGGCGUAGGCGGCUUGCUGGGUCUUAACUGACGCUGAGGCACGAAAUCGUGGUGAACAAGCAGGAUUAGAUACCCCUGGUAGUCCACGCCGUAAACGAUGAGUACUAAGUGUCGGGUUUUGGCUCGGUACUGAAGUUAACACAUUAAGUACUCCGCCUGAGUAGUACGUACGCAAGUAUGAAACUUAAAGGAAUUGACGGGACCCCGCACAAGCGGUGGAUCAUGUUGUUUAAUUCGAAGAUACACGAAAAACCUUACCAGGUCUUGACAUAAUUUUGCGACAUUAUAGAAAUAUAAUGAAGGUUAUCAGAAUUACAGGUGGUGCAUGGUUGUCGUCAGCUCGUGUCGUGAGAUGUUAGGUUAAGUCCUAAAACGAGCGCAACCCUUGUCGUUAGUUGCGACCACAUAAUGGUGAGCACUUUAGCGAGACUGCCAAUGAAAAAUUGGAGGAAGGUGAGGAUUACGUCAAAUCAUCAUGCCCCUUAUGAUCUGGGCUACAAACGUGAUACAAUGGCUGUUACAAAGGGUAGCUGGAACGUAACUUUUUGGCCAAUCUCAAAAAAACAGUCUCAGUUCGGAUUGAAGUCUGCAACUCGACUUCAUGAAGUUGGAAUCGCUAGUAAUCGCGAAUCAGCAUGUCGCGGUGAAUACGUUGUCGGGGUUUGUACACACCGCCCGUCAAACCACGAAAGUUGAUAAUACCCAAAACCGGUCGCCUAACUUCGUCAGAAGAGGGAACCGUC
rnacentral:rRNA from 1 species